rnacentral:tmRNA from 1 species
GGGGAUGUUCUGGUUUUGACAGCGCAUGACAUCGGACGGUAAGCACGCCGGGCGUCGGAGGUUUGCCCGUUAAUCUCAGCUUCCGAACAAUUAGUUGGCAACAACAACUACGCACUCGCUGCCUAAUCUACCAAGUAGUUUAGCUUAAUCGACGGCCGCCAAGGCUGCGGCUGCGACGAGUAUCCCUCCGGGCUUCAGGCCGGUCAUGUCCGGAAUAUGGGGUAUCAUCCAGACCGGAUGCACAGGAGGAUUCCUUUAAAUCCUGCCAAGACAUAAAGGAUAAGUUCAUGAUAGCCUGCCUCCCGGCAGUCAUGUUCCGAAAAACGUAGAGAGGAUAAGCGUGUAGAAAGCUGCCUGGUGCGGCGUUUGGACGGCGGUUCGAGUCCGCCCAUCUCCAC